rnacentral:tRNA from 1 species
GCCAGUUUGGCUCAGUUGAUAGAGCAUCGGUCUGCAGACUGAAGGGUCCUGGGUUCAAUUCCAGUAAAGGGUA